GUUUGAUCCUGGCUCAGGACGAACGCUGGCGGCGUGCCUAACACAUGCAAGUCGAGCGAAGAAGUCCCUUCGGGGAUGGAUUAGCGGCGGACGGGUGAGUAACACGUGGGUAACCUGCCUCAAAGAGGGGGAUAGCCUCCUGAAAGGGAGAUUAAUACCGCAUAAAAGGUAAAUACCGCAUGGUAAAUACCUUAAAGGAGAAAUCCGCUUUGAGAUGGGCCCGCGUCGCAUUAGCUAGUUGGAGGGAUAAAAGCCCCCCAAGGCGACGAUGCGUAGCCGACCUGAGAGGGUGAACGGCCACAUUGGAACUGAGAUACGGUCCAGACUCCCACGGGAGGCAGCAGUGGGGAAUAUUGCACAAUGGGGGAAACCCUGAUGCAGCAACGCCGCGUGAGUGAAGAAGGUUUUCGGAUCGUAAAGCUCUGUCAUCCGGGACGAUAAUGACGGUACCGGAAGGGGAAGCCACGGCUAACUACGUGCCAGCAGCCGCGGUAAUACGUAGGUGGCGAGCGUUGUCCGGAAUUACUGGGCGUAAAGGGUGUGCAGGCGGAUAUUUAAGUGAGAUGUGAAAGACCCGGGCUUAACCCGGGCAGUGCAUUUCAAACUGGAUAUCUAGAGUGCAGGAGAGGAGAACGGAAUUCCUAGUGUAGCGGUGAAAUGCGUAGAGAUUAGGAAGAACACCAGUGGCGAAGGCGGUUCUCUGGACUGUAACUGACGCUGAGGCACGAAAGCGUGGGUAGCAAACAGGAUUAGAUACCCUGGUAGUCCACGCCGUANACGAUGAGUACUANNGUGUAGGGGGGUAUCGACCCCCCCUGUGCCGCAGNUAACACAAUAAGUACUCCGCCUGGGAAGUACGAUCGCAAGAUUAAAACUCAAAGGAAUUGACGGGGACCCGCACAAGCAGCGGAGCAUGUGGUUUANUUCGAAGCAACGCGAAGAACCUUACCUGGACUUGACAUCCCCUGAAUAACUUGUAAUG
rnacentral:rRNA from 1 species